rnacentral:rRNA from 1 species
UACAGAGGUGGCAAGCGUUGUUCGGAAUUACUGGGCGUAAAGGGCGCGUAGGCGGUCUUGUAAGUCUUGUGUGAAAUCCCUCGGCUUAACUGAGGAAGUGCGCCCGAAACUGCUUAGCUUGAGUGCCGGAGAGGAUGGCGGAAUACCCCAAGUAGAGGUGAAAUUCGUAGAUAUGGGGUGGAACACCGGUGGCGAAGGCGGCCAUCUGGACGGUAACUGACGCUGAGGCGCGAAAGCGUGGGUAGCAAACAGG